GAGAUUAGCUUGCUAAAGUUGUCAGCUAAGUGGCGCACGGGUGAGUAAUGUAUAGAUAACCUGCCCUUAAGAAAGGAAUAACAGUUGGAAACGACUGCUAAUGCCCUAUAUGCCUUUAAUACAUAAGUAUGCAAGGGAAACGCUUUAGUGCUUAAGGAUGGGUCUGUAUGGUAUCAGCUUGUUGGUGAGGUAAUGGCUCACCAAGGCUAUGACGCCUAACUGGUUUGAGAGGAUGAUCAGUCACACUGGAACUGAGACACGGUCCAGACUCCUACGGGAGGCAGCAGUGGGGAAUAUUGCACAAUGGACGAAAGUCUGAUGCAGCAACGCCGCGUGGAGGAUGACACAUUUCGGUGCGUAAACUCCUUUUAUAUAGGAAGAUAAUGACGGUACUAUAUGAAUAAGCACCGGCUAACUCCGUGCCAGCAGCCGCGGUAAUACGGAGGGUGCAAGCGUUACUCGGAAUCACUGGGCGUAAAGAGCGUGUAGGCGGGUAUAUAAGUCAGAAGUGAAAUCCUAUAGCUUAACUAUAGAACUGCUUUUGAAACUGUAUACCUAGAAUGUGGGAGAGGUAGAUGGAAUUUCUGGUGUAGGGGUAAAAU
rnacentral:rRNA from 1 species